AUGACCAUCCUCUCCAAGGAUGCUCCUACGGAGAUCUCCCACCCCGCCCACCCGGAGCACAAGCUGAAGCUGAUGGCCACCGGCGCGGCGGAGUUCCAGUGCGACGUCUGCAAGGAGCUAGGCGCCGGGGACCGGUACACGUGCCGACCCUGCGACUUCGACCUCCACAGAGACUGCGCGCUCGCAGAGGCCACGCUGGCGCACCCAUUGCUCAAGGGCAGAGAGUUCCAGCUCCGCCUCGAGCACCCGCGCCACCGCGACGGCGGCGGCGGGACAUGCGGCGCCUGCGGCGGGAAGGUGCUCGGGCUGCACUACCACUGCGCCGCCAAGAAGGGCUCGGACCUCCACCCGUGCUGCGCGGCACUGCCGCUGGUGAUCCCUCAGGAGGAGCUCACGCUCGAGCUCCGGAAGGAGGCGUCUCACCGCUGCAGCAGCUGCCGGGAAAGAGGCAGGGGCAGGACCUGGUUCUACCGUUCCACCUGCAAGACCGUGUACCUGCACGUGGCCUGCGUCAAAGAGAUUGCUCGCCGGAGCCGUGGCGCCGGCGACGGCUCGAGUACCGAUCCGUUCGCUUCCGUUAAGGAAGCGGCGGUGCAGAUCUACCGCGCAAAGAAGGACGAGAGCGAGUUGGAGCGCGUCAUUCUCGAGCUGGUUCUUGGAGGUUGA
rnacentral:rRNA from 1 species